GGGGGAGAGCCCAGCACUGGUCCCCGGAAAGGUGCCUAGAAGAACAAGGUGCAGGACCCCGUGAGAUGGAACUUGGACUUGGAGGCCUCUCCACGCUGUCCCACUGCCCCUGGCCUAGGCAGCAGGCUCCACUUGGUCUCUCCGCGCAGCCUGCCCUGUGGCCCACCCUGGCCGCUCUGGCUCUGCUGAGCAGCGUCGCAGAGGCCUCCCUGGGCUCCGCGCCCCGCAGCCCUGCCCCCCGCGAAGGCCCCCCGCCUGUCCUGGCGUCCCCCGCCGGCCACCUGCCGGGUAGGUGAGAGGGCGAGGGGGCGGGGCGGGGCUGGCCCGGGACACCGCGCGUGACUGGGUCUCAUUCCAGGGGGACGCACGGCCCGCUGGUGCAGUGGAAGAGCCCGGCGGCCG
rnacentral:lncRNA from 1 species